UUGAUGUGUGAAAUUGUGAACAGAAGCUUUUAGUCCUUCGUUUCACAAAAUGGCUUUGUUUUUGUUGCUGUUGUCACUGCAACAUCUGUUGUCUUCUGUUUCACAAUGCAGGUUUCAUAUCAGUUGUUGAUACAUGUAGUUUCUGGUGUUGAUCUAUUUUCCUCUUUCUUGUUUCCAUGAUUUAGGUCAUGGACUCUUGCUUGGUUGCAUAUCACACAGAACAAAGGCCUCUGUUCCUAGAGUUUCAGGAUGAACCUUCAUCAAUAUUAGCUAGUCUUAUUUGAUAGCAUGUGAUUUACCAAUGCUGUUGCAAGAAUCAGGUAAAGGAAUCUUCAGUUAUAAGCUUUUUAGAAUCAUUUUCAAAGUUGAAGGUAAUCUUGAACAUUUCUUGCUAAUUAGUUUGUCUUGGUUUUAUAUUGAUCGUGCAGAGUCGAGAUUGAAGAAGAAACUCAUGCAUGCGAUGUGCCUGUCAUCUAAACUUAUUGUUUUGGACAAAAUGGUAAGCAAAUCUAGUUAUAUUCUUAUGAGUUUUGUAUCACAGGGUCAACUUGGUGCAGCUUAAUUAAGACAAGCACUUCUCGUGGAGAAGACUUUUCCUAGCUAAUCAAGCCAUGCGUCCUGUCUCUUGUAAAAAGAGAGAGUUUUAAGUCCCUUUAGAAGAGUGAAAGCCAUGGCCACAAUUUAGAGAGAUCUAGUGAGUUGUUGAUGUAUUUGGG
rnacentral:lncRNA from 1 species